GCUCGUCACCCCCCUCUCCCCGGUUGUCGGCUCCCCGCGCGGGGUGAGGGGCGGGCAGGUGGGCGAUGAAUGGGUUCAGCACCGAGGAGGACAGCCGGGAUGGGCCGCCCGCCGCCCCCUUUUACGGCCAGAGCUGCUGCCUCAUCGACGACGGGGACCGCUGCGUGCGCCCCGCCGGCAACGCGUCCUUCAGCAAGAGGAUCCAGAAGAGCAUCUCGCAGAAGAAGCUGAAGCUGGACAUCGACAAAAGUGUGAGACAUCUGUAUAUUUGUGAUUUUCACAAGAACUUCAUUCAAAGUGUGCGAAACAAAAGGAAGAGGAAGACGAGCGAUGACGGAGGUGACUCUCCUGAGCAUGACACGGAUGUUCCAGAGGUUGACUUGUUCCAGCUCCAAGUGAACACCCUGAGACGUUACAAGAGGCAUUAUAAGUUGCAGACUAGGCCUGGACUCAACAAGGCUCAGCUUGCAGAAACUGUCAGUCGUCACUUCAGGAAUAUUCCAGUGAAUGAGAAGGAGACACUCGCAUAUUUCAUCUACAUGGUGAAGAACAACAAGAGCAGGCUGGACCAGAAAUCAGAAGGAGGCAAGCAACUAGAUUGAAGGUUAACAAGACUUGGAAUAAGAGAGACCUUAAAGGAACAUAUGGUAUUGUGUAUUUUAGGGCUGAAAACUGCCAACAAAGAGCAGAGAAUGGCACUGCUGACUGGGAAUGCCAAGCCUGGAGCAGAAAAUUCAGCUGAUGAGAUAUUUUGUGACAAACCCAUGUGGGUUGUACAGGGGUAACUGCACAGUUCCACGAACACUCAGUCUCUGCCAGGAGCUGGAGUCAAUUUCCCACCUCUUACCCUUGCGGGCAGUGCUGUUUUCUUCUGAAGCACUACAUGAUCACCACAGCACCCUCAGCAGGGAACACUAUGGUGCUGUGGGGAAGAGGGAAGUGUCAGGCAGCUGAGAUGGCUCUGCUGCUUCUCCUACCGCAGUCUUUCAGGGUGGUCAGGACCUGAAUUCCUCAUGCAAAAGAAGAAGCAGGGGAAGAGGAAACUGCAAGUAAGGGCCUUCCCCACCUCAGGGAUCUGUCACAAGGACUCAGCAAGGCUCCAAGCGUGGUUUCUUGCUCUGCAGUCUCUCAGCUCAAGCCUCCUGGGUUUGUUAUUGCACUUCAGCUUUGGAGUAACCAGGAGAGGCAGAGCUCGUCCAGCAUCACAGAGCUGUGGGAAUGGCACCGAGUCCUGCCCUGAGCUGUAUGGCACUGGUGCUCCACCAGCUCCCAGCCAGCUUCCAUCCUGGAUCUCAAAUCCAGCUGCUGUGUGAGACACAAGUGGGCCUCUGUGCCACCCCACACCACCCAGCUUCACCUGAGGGCUGUGCUGAGAUGUCAUGAGAGAAGAUUAGUGAAAAAUCAACAAAGUGUCAGCACUGCCAGAGAAGGUCCUUGCUAAGGCAAUUGUCCACAGAGCAGGAUGAGGACAGGUCAUUCUGCAGAAAACCAUGGUGACCAUGGCUAACCCCACCCCAAGCAUGUGAGUCUUGUGAAAGGAGAAAAUACACACUUCUCACAACCCUCUGCACUGGGGGAAGGGCCUUCUUGGAAUAAAGGAGCAAUGCAGGUUGGCUUUGGAGAGGUAGAGACAUGGGAUGGAUGAUUAGUUUGUCCAUUGUUUGAGGAACGGUCUUGGGGAAAUUGUCUCAAGGUGCAGGGUUCUUGGUCUUUUCCCAGCACAGGACUGGAGACAGGACUGCAGCACAGGACAGCUGCAUGGAAAAAUAUACCCUGGGCAGAGCUCAGUGCUCAGUCCCAAGCA